rnacentral:rRNA from 1 species
UACGUAGGGUGCAAGCGUUGUCCGGAAUUAUUGGGCGUAAAGAGCUCGUAGGCGGUUUGUCGCGUCUGCUGUGAAAACCCGAGGCUCAACCUCGGGCCUGCAGUGGGUACGGGCAGACUAGAGUGCGGUAGGGGAGAUUGGAAUUCCUGGUGUAGCGGUGGAAUGCGCAGAUAUCAGGAGGAACACCGAUGGCGAAGGCAGAUCUCUGGGCCGUAACUGACGCUGAGGAGCGAAAGCAUGGGUAGUGAACAGG